rnacentral:snoRNA from 1 species
AACCCCUUAGGGUUGCACCUGGAGAGUUUCCAGUACUCUAUCAGUCUCGAUUACAGGAGGGAGAGUCAAGCAGAGGCGUAUCCAUUCCAUUACUAUCUUAGGCAGUGGCUAGAGAGUGGAAGGCAAUCUGCUACAAGU